UAUCGAAAGAGGUCUCGCGGUUCUUCGC
rnacentral:sRNA from 1 species